ACCCAGUUCCAAAUGAUCUUUUCCUCCCACACCUCUCUCCGGUAUUUCUCCGUUGCUUUUAACUUGGUAUCAUCUCCGUAUCUACAAAGGGGGUUGAAAAUGCAAGAGAAUUCAAGUGUAAAAAGGACUUAGAGGAGCCAACAAUUGUAGCAGAGGAGUAGCAAACUCAGAAAUGACGAGAAAUGUUCUGUGGGGGACUGGGGUUGUGUAGGCAGGAUGAGGAGAACUUUACAAAGUCAAGUAAGUCUUUGAAUCCCUUCGGACAAUUUUAUAAAUAUUUUAAUCUUGGCAACUAUGGCUUCUUCAUUAGCAACUUUCAUACUGAGUUUCAUUUCUCUACUCCUUAUGCAAUUAACCAUAUUCAAGUUACUUCGCUUCUGAGUGUUUUUGCUUUGUUUGUAUGAAUAAAGGUGUUUUUAAGGAUUUAUUCCUUAGCAUUCUCACUAAAGGUAGAUUUAUUAAAAAGGAGUAUCUUUUUCAGAGCAUUCUUUGGAAUGAAAAAUAUUUAUCAUGCAUUCGUGAUUCAUCAUCCUUCAAUCAUAAUACUUAUGUUCAAAAUGAGCUCACAGAACGGCUGAGCAGAAAAGAAGUUCUAUGUAUUAUAGUUGUAUCAAAUUUUAGGCAAAUGAGUAUUAAGUUAUGUUGUACAAUUAUGAGAAAAGGACUAUGAGAAAUUAUAGAGUACAACAGGAGAUUUCAUUAGUGAAAUGGCCAAAGUGCUUAAGUAACAAAUAUAUAAUCUGCACUGAUUUAAGAAUCAAUGUAACAAUUUUCAUGAGAAGUUUAGCCUAGGUAAAAAGUACAAAAGUUUUUAUGUUGUACUUCCCUAAUGAUUCAAAGAAAAAUUUUAAUGGGUUUGGUUUUGAUCUCGAUACAUCUAUUGGUGUGGUACAACCUGAAGAUAGCCCUUGCGGUGUCUUUGCAACAAUACUUUGGUUUCCCUUUUAUUUCUCUCAUGUGAAAGUAAAUUAAACUUAAUUCAAAGCAAAUAUUCACUGAUUUUGUCAUUUUAACUUUCUCUGGUCUUGGGCAGAUAGUUUAGUUUUGUAGUUUAACCCGAAGCAGUAAAGGUAAGGCAAGCUCAAAUGAACAACUAUUCCAUUUUUCAUUCUCAGGUCCUCCGUUGUUUUCAACAUUCUAUGCUUGUGAGAAAUUUAACUUUCUUUCCCUGAUGAAAAAGGCGGAAAGCACAGAGAGAUACUUAUUUAAAAAAAUAAGCAAGAGAGAUAACUGGUGCAUUAAUUGUUUUGAGAUCACAUGCAAGUGUUCAAAGAAAUCAUUUAUCUAUCUUGGUGUGAUUACAAUGACGCAAUAAGGAACAACUUAUUAUAACAUCAUCCAGAGAAUGAUCUAAUUUGAAAAUGCAGCUCUGAACCAUUUUUGCACAUCUUAGCCAUUCAGACGCUGAAAAUUUAAUAAUUACCUAAAUAUUUCUAUGGAGAAAGGAAGAAAACCAAAAAAAAGGAUCGGCAAGUAACAUCUCGAUUAUUGAAUCACUCCCAACAAAUUGAUAGAGUCAAUCUGGUGCUAUUUCAUUGUCUAUUCUAUUUUAUUUGAUUUUUCCCUUUUUAUUUUCAUUAAUGUCGAAGCUUCGUAACUUUUCUUUUUCGUUUUCUGUUAUUUACUUGUAUAAAUCGAAUGUAUUGUGUUUAAACUAAAUCGAAUGUAUCAUGUUUAAACUUACUUGAACAGCUGGUGUUGGACAAAAUGAGUUCACUCAUUUGUCUAUGCGAUUGAAUGUGGUGUUACAAGCUUUUGCAUUAAAUGAGAAUAAAAAUGAUAAUUGUUACCUAUAUUUCUUAAUUUAUCCUUUUACUUUUAAAAAUAAAAUAAUAAUCUAGCUAGCAGUGAGGAUUACAAUGUCUAGACUGUCUAAUCUAUUGGCAACCAUGUUGGUUAGAUGCUCUUAUAGUUUCUGCUUUAUCUGUUCAAUUCUAUAGUCAGUCAUUACAUUUUAGCAGCAUACCUUCGCGGUGAUAUUUGAGUAAUAUUUCCAGGUAGAGAAAGUCUCUGUUGUAGCUCACUUUUGACUUUUAGGCUUAUACAUACAUGUUUUGACGAUCAAUUGAACAAAUGUAAUUAAAAUUAUGACUUGUUUUCUUCUUUCACUUACUGGUCGUAUUGAUAUACUAUCUCUUAUUUGUGCAUUUUAAAAUUUGGUUUCACUUUAACUAAAAUAACAACAGGUUGAUGUUAUUUGAGAAAUCUCAUAGCAAUUGUUUUGAAGAAAAAGAGUACAUUGAUCCUUAUAGUGUAUUUUUCUGAUGUCUUUAUGUGUGCUUCUCUGUUCUGUUGUGUACCAUUCUUUUCUUUAAUUCUUAGGAGAGUAGACAGCUCAAAACAUAACAAUUAGUUGCCUCAUGAGUUGAUGUAUAACCUACUUGAAUCUUUCACCCUUUUUUUUAACUGAAGCAGCUCAUGCUCCAAUAGUGCCAAGAAGAGCAUAUGGUUAUUAAGCUUUCUUGUGAUACUUUUUACAUUUUUCCUGUCCUUUGAGAACCCUUUAUGGAGCUUUAUUUCUCUAGCAGCAGUUGCACUAUUAAACUGUUGAUUCGUCUUAAUUUAUUAUCACCAAAUUGUUAUCGUUUUUUACACUGCUCAGUUUUAGCUUGAAUUCGUUUAAGUCAUUUAUCAUAAGACUGAAAGAUUUUUGUUUGUUUGUUUGUUAGGGUACCAGGCUCGAACUCUAACCUAGUGGAAUAAAGACGACUCUCUCAGCCACUAUGAACAAUACUGUUUAAGAUUAUAAGAUCUUGAAAUUUCUGAUGUUGUGAGUUUUUCAAUAACAGAGUGACCUACCAUCUAGCAAUAGCAAAUAUUUUUAUCUCAGCUAUAACGGAAUACUGCAGAAAAUCAAAAAAUAGUAGUUGUAGCUACCAAAUAUUCAUACCACGAAGCCCAAAGAUUUUAUGAUGUUUGGUUGUAGAUGUUUCCUAAAGAACUCGUGAACUGCCAAAGCUAAGAUGUUAAGAAAUCGAAGUGCUCAUGAAAGUUUAAAGGUUAUUGAAUGAGCGUGUUGACUCCAAUCACUUUAUAUUUUUCAAGAGGCUAAGAUGUAAGAAAAUCUAAAUGCUUAUGGAAGUGUAGAGGUUGCUGAAUGAGUUCUGAUAGUUAAUUUAUAAGAUCAAAAGUUAUGAGUUCUAAUGGAAAAACUUGAAGUUAGUUCAUUCUUGACACUUCUAUGUUACUGGAUCUUGUUUCAUGCAUAUGCUACUAUCUCUGUUAACCAAUUUCAUUCUUCUUGCCACUUUUUCUUCUUUUAAGAAGAGUAUUGAGCUGCAAAUUGAUAAGCUUUAUCAGCUAAUGGUAUGAUGCUAGAAUAUUUCAGCAAUUUAUAGGAGACAAAAUAUGGAUUUUGAUAUGUGUCUCAUCUCUUCUGGUCUUGAACUGAAGUCUGUGCAUUGCAGGGAGUUUUUUCUUCAUCUAGAGGUACCUGCUAUUACUACUCUAACAAAGUACUUUCCAGAGCCAGCUAAAGAAGAACAACUCAAUACUUUCUUUUGAAACAAUUCAUAUGUUACAAACAUUCAAGCACUUGGCAAAAUUGCCUCCAUCUUUUGAGAUUCUGCUAAAGGCUUGAAUUUUUAUUUUCCCUUUCUUCUAUUCCCUUCCUUGUGAGGUUUUGGCAUUUCUGUUAAAUGCUACUGCAAAAGAAAGCUUAUAACAACAAACGCUUGUGGAAUGAUGGACUUUCAAAGAAACCAUCUUCUUUUGUCCAAUGCGUAAUUAGGUUCUCAUGUAAACAAGCUGAAUAGCGUACUUAAGGAAGUAAGCUCAAGAAUGUACUAUAUUACAAGUACAUAUAAUCCUUAGGUUGGGUAUCUUGUACAACUUUGUUCCUCGGUAACACUGUAUAUAUAAGUAUAUUUUAUAUUUCUAAGAAUGUUUUAUGUAUAAAAAUAAUUUUGACCCCACUUGAAACAUUGAUGAUGAAUAGCUUGUUGGAAAAGUGGGUUCAAAUUUUCCCCAA